GAUGAACGCUAGCGAUAGGCUUAACACCUGCAAGUCGAGGGACCGACGCACGGGUGCGUAACGCGUAUGCAACCUGCCUGUAAUUAGGGAAUAACCCGGUGAAAGUCGGACUAAUACCCUAUAAUUACAGAUGGUCAUGCGUCCCAUUAGCUUGUUGGUAAGGUAACGGCUUACCAAGGCAACGAUGGGUAGGGGGACUGAGAGUUUGACCCCCCUCACCGUAACUGGGACACGGACCAGACUCCUACGCGGUGCAGCAGUGGGGAAUAUUGGUAAAUGGGCAGGGGCCUGAACCAGCCAAGUCGCGUGAAGGACGACGGUUUCUGGAGUGGAAACUUCUUUUGUAGAGGAAUAUGGACUCUACGAAUAAGUAGCGGCUAACUCCGUGGCAGCAGCCGCGGUAAUAC
rnacentral:rRNA from 1 species